GCCCUUUUAACUCAGGGGUAGAGUAACGCCGUAAGUCAUCGGUUCAAGCCCGAUAAAGGGCU
rnacentral:tRNA from 1 species